UGGGAGUUCAAAGAGUGACUGUUGGCUGCUGAAUGUGAUGUGAAGGUCAAGGUUAUUUCAUUCAAAUAGCUGCCACAGAUGACCAUAAGACUACAGUAAAGGCCAGUAGAGAUCUGUCACAUCAAGUUACAGGAAUUAACUUGGAUAGUCUAGAUGACCACAACAGUAGGGCCAGUGGAGAGGAUAGUCUAGAUGACCACAACAGUAUGGCCAGUGGAGAGGAUAGUCUAGAUGACCACAACAGUAUGACCAGUGGAGAGGAUAGUCUAGAUGACCACUA